UACGGAGGGUGCAAGCGUUGUCCGGAUUUAUUGGGUUUAAAGGGUGCGUAGGCGGCUAAUUAAGUCAGCGGUGAAAUUCCACAGCUUAACCGGGGAACUGCGUCUGAUACUGGAUGGCUGGAGGUUGGGAGAGGGAUGCAGAAUUCCAGGUGUAGCGGUGAAAUGCGUAGAUGUCUGGAGGAAUACCGGUGGCGAAGGCGGCAUCCUGGACCGGCAUUGACGCUGAGGAGCGAAAGCUAGGGGAGCAAACGGG
rnacentral:rRNA from 1 species